rnacentral:lncRNA from 1 species
AAGCAGUUCUUUAUCUGUGGAUUUUUUUUCCAGGUUAAUUCCAUGAAUCGAUCUUGCUCUGCAAUUGGCAGUAUAAGAAUCUCUUACUAAAAAGAGAAUGAAGAUGGGGAUAUCAACACAAGUGGUGGAUGUUAAAGAAUGAAGCUGCUACUGCAUGUCAGAAAUCCUGUCAUCCAUUCUUAUUGAUAAAUAAGAUCCUGGUUCAAUAACAUCACAGUUGAGACUUUUCCGGCAAUUGUACAUUUUGAGAACUACAGCAAAACUUACGUCAUGGAAGCUUCAUUUCAUUUCAAAGUGGUUGCUGCCAAACAGUUGUGGUGCUGGUACCCUAUCUCCUGCAGAGCUACUUGAAGAUAAUAAGAAAGAAAACAAGCUCUGUAUCCUGAAAAGCAUGAA